AGCGUAGGCGGACAUUUAAGUCAGGGGUGAAAUCCCGGGGCUCAACCUCGGAACUGCCUUUGAUACUGGGUGUCUUGAGUAUGAGAGAGGUGUGUGGAACUCCGAGUGUAGAGGUGAAAUUCGUAGAUAUUCGGAAGAACACCAGUGGCGAAGGCGACACACUGGCUCAUUACUGACGCUGAGGCUCGAAAGCGUGGGGAGCAAACA
rnacentral:rRNA from 1 species